GCCCGACUAGGCAAAUUGGCAAAGCCGCCUGACUUAGGAUCAGGAGUCUCCCGGUUCGAUUCCGGGGUUGGGUA
rnacentral:tRNA from 1 species